rnacentral:rRNA from 1 species
AACUAACGCUGGCGGCGUGCCUAACACAUGCAAGUCGAACGAGAAGCCCGCAAGGGUUGUAAAGUGGCGGACGGGUGCAUAACACGUGGGUAAUCUACCCUUUGGUCUGAGAUAACCUGCCGAAAGGCGGGCGUAAUACCGGGAUAAGGACCACGGCUCUGAGGAGCUGUGGGAAAAGGCCCGCAAGGGUCGCCGAUCGAUGAGCCCGCGGCCUAUCAGGUAGUUGGUGAGGUAAUGGCUCACCAAGCCUACGACGGGUAGCUGGUCUGAGAGGACGACCAGCCACACUGGAACUGAGACACGGUCCAGACUCCUACGGGAGGCAGCAGUGGGGAAUAUUGCGC